rnacentral:piRNA from 1 species
UCCCUGAAGGUAAGAGAGCAUACACACCA